rnacentral:rRNA from 1 species
GCCGGAGGCUCCGGCGCGUCGACCGGGCGGCGGCGGCCGCAGCGGCACGGGCCGGAGGCGAAGAGGGAGAGCCAGGCGAGGACGGGGGUGCCGAGGAGGACCAGCCCCGCGGGCACCAUCCAGAGCCGCGCGUGCGCCGGGUGGAACGCCAGCGCCCACCACACCAGCAGCGCCGCGCCGCCCAGGCCCACCGCCACCAGGCUCGCCGCCGUGGCGGCCACGGACGAGAACGACGACGACGACGACGCCACCUUCGCCGCGGCCCCGGGCUUCGGAGGCCCCGCACCCGCCUCCAUGGAAGGCUACGUACGCGCCUGGCACCGCCCGGCCGUCGUCAACAGACCGAGUCCAAGUGUUGCGCGCAUAUAUACCCGCGUGGGCGCGUGGCGUGGCGUGGCGUGGCCGGAAGCUGCACCGGCGGCGCUGCGCAGAACAGUCCCGUAA